rnacentral:rRNA from 1 species
CCAAUAGCGUAUAUUAAAGUUGUUGCAGUUAAAAAGCUCGUAGUUGAACUUCGGGAUCAAUGGAUCGGUCAUGCCCUCGGUCUGUACUGGUCUCAUUGGUUCUCACCUUCUAAGGAACCAUGAUGUCAUUCAUUUGAUGUUAUGGGAAAUUAGGACUGUUACCUUGAAAAAAUUAGGGUGUUUAAAGCUGGCUUACGCUUGAAUACAUUACCAUGGAAUAAUGAAAUAGGACAUCGCAUUCUAUUUUGUUGGUUUCUAGGAUCGAUGUAAUGAUUAAUAGGGAUAGUUGGGGGCAUUAGUAUUCAAUUGUCAGAGGUGAAAUUCUUGGAUUUAUUGAAGACUAACUACUGCGAAAGCAUUUGCCAAGGAUGUUUUCAUUAAUCAAGAACGAAAGUUAGGGGAUCGAAGACGAUCAGAUACCGUCGUAGUCUUAACCAUAAACUAUGCCGACUAGGGAUCGGAUGAUGUUGAUUUUAUAAUGACUCAUUCGGCACCUUACG